rnacentral:rRNA from 1 species
AUGAACGCUGGCGGCGUGCCUAAUACCUGCACGUCGAGCGAACGGACGAGAAGCUUGCUUCUCUGAUGUUAGCGGCGGACGGGUGAGUAACACGUGGAUAACCUACCUAUAAGACUGGGAUAACUUCGGGAAACCGGAGCUAAUACCGGAUAAUAUUUUGAACCGCAUGGUUCAAAAGUGAAAGACGGUCUUGCUGUCACUUAUAGAUGGAUCCGCGCUGCAUUAGCUAGUUGGUAAGGUAACGGCUUACCAAGGCAACGAUGCAUAGCCGACCUGAGAGGGUGAUCGGCCACACGGGAACUGAGACACGGUCCAGGCUCCUACGGGAGGCAGCAGUAGGGAAUCUUCCGGAAUGGGCGAAAGCCUGACGGAGCAACGCCGCGUGAGUGAUGAAGGUCUUCGGAUCGUAAAACUCUGUUAUUAGGGAAGAACAUAUGUGUAAGUAACUGUGCACAUCUUGACGGUACCUAAUCAGAAAGCCACGGCUAACUACGU